rnacentral:lncRNA from 1 species
AGCUCACACAUCAUUACGACUCGCACAUUGAUAUAUACAUAUACUAAAUCAGUUGACAUAUAAAAUCUUACUAAAUCGGGUAGCACAUAAUUACUUACAUAGGAUUCGCACAUAAGUACCUUUCAAGUCGAUUUACUCAAGCAUUACAAGGACAAUUAGCACAUAUUUUGCCAAAGCAGUUUACAUGUAACACCCCCUAACCCCAAAUCGUCGCCGAAAUGAGGUUAUGAGGCAUUACCGGACAUAUCAGACAACUUACGAAUAAUUUACAAUUAAUAUAACUUUCAUAGUAUAAUAUAAUAAUUAAGUCCCUAUCUUGGACUCUCAAAGUUCAAACACGUAUUAAAAGUAGAAUGGGACUUGUUCGAGUAUUCCAAAAAAAUUUUUAUAAAAAAUUUCGCCAGCAUUUCUACUUAUUUUUACCUAAACCUCCUGCAAAUUCAAACCAAAAUCACCAACACCAAUGUUUCACAUUCAUAUAACUAAUAUUUAUAUCAUUAACAUAAUUUUAACUUAAUAACUAUCAUAGCAUCAUUCAAAAUUGAUUAUAAACUUCAUUCAUUUAACAACUUAAUGUUCAUGUAUCAAAAUAUCAUGUAAUUUAACCAUCUAAAUCUUAUAAUUCAUCCUUCACUACUCAAAGUAAUAUACAUAUUCAGGUGACUAAACAACACCUAUGUACAUGCCACAUUUACCCAAAAGAAAAAUAUACAUCACCAAGUUUGUGUUGGAGUCAGGAUUGUUCAGGAUGCUGAGCCGGGACACUUGACUUCUACUAACCUGCGCACGGAAACAACCGUACACUGAGUAUGGAUAUACUCAGUGGUAUUACUAUAAAUCUGAGUCUGAUUUGAUAAUACCAACUCUUAUGGAGCGAGAAGAAAGAGAAGAAGCAAGAGAAUGGUAUGCUAAGAGAGACGAAAUUGCACAAACUAUAUGGACUGAUUAUAUGGCUAGAAAUAUUAGGUAGGUUUAGGUCUUAGGUUUGUUGUUUCUAUGUUAUGUAUGUUUUAGUAUUAAAAUUGUUCUUUUUUUAUUAAUGUUUGUUGGAUAAUGAUAUUAAAAUUUUAGUUUGUUGGAUUUUGAAAUUAUUAUGUCUUGAAUUUGUUAGAUAUUGAUUAUGUUAAGCUUGUUAGAUAUUGAAUUUAUUAUGUUUUAAGCUUGUUGGAUAUCGAAAUGAUUGACAAUGACAAUUAUUAAUGUAGAAUGGGUAAGGGCAACAAAGAAGGGACCUCCAAGCGAUUCAGGUGGACAAAACCGAUGGAACAUGUUUUUCUUGAAAUUCUAGCAGAGAAGGCCCAGAAAGGAAAUAAGCCUUCUAAUACUUUCAAAAUAGUUUCUAUUAAAUGAGUUGUCGAAGCUAUUUUUGAAAGAUUCCAAGUCCAAUGCGAUGAGAAGUAUGUGGAAAAUCAUUUGAGGACUGUAAAAAACCAAUGGCAAAUUAUAUGCAAAAUUCGAGGUUGAAGUGGUUUUGGAUGGGAUGAUAACAUGAAAAUGAUCACAUGUGAUAGAGCGGCAUAUGAUGCAGCAGUGAUAGUAAUAUAUGUAUAUAUAUGUUAAGUAUAUUUCAAUUGUUUUAUACUUGUUAUUCUAAUUGUGUAUAAUAUCCAACAGGCACACAAGAAGUAUGAACCAUUUUUGAAUAAAAGUAUUGAUCAUUAUGAUGAAAUGGCUUUGGUUGUUGGCAAAGAUAUGACAAUAGGGUGUUUUGCCAGAACAUUUGUUGACAUAGAUUUGGAUGAUGGUAACCAAGAUUCAGUGCCUCUAGACUGCUACAAUGAAGAGGAUGAAGAGGUAAGAACAAAUGUAUCUGCAUCUGGCACAUCCAAACAUAAAAGAAAAAAUGUUCAAGAAAGUGUCGUUGAUGAACAAGUUAAAUUCGUGGGUGAACAACUUGGCAAAAUUGCUAAUGCUUUGGAACAAUUUACUGCGGAUAAGACACCACAGCUUUACGAACAAGUGAUGUCGAUGGAGGAAGAAGGAUUUCAUGAUGACUUCUUGUGUUCUGUGUUUGAUUAUCUAGUGAGUCAUGAAUCCGAGGCCAAAGCUUUUUUAGUUAAAAAUAAGAAGCAUAAAAAAAUUUGGCUUCAAAAAUUUUCUCAAGGUUGAAGAUAUUGAUACUUUUAUGUGGUGUAAUAUUUAGUUAUGCACUUGGACAAUGUUAUUAUUAUGUGGUGUACUACUAAUUAUGCAUUUGGAUAAUAUUAUUAAUUUCUAGUAUUAAUUAUGGUGUGGAAGCUAAUUUAUAAUUAUUCAAUCCUUGUUUUUUAUUUUUUUAACACAAUUACAAAUAAUUUAUUUGACUUAAUUUGGUUGUUUUCAAUUUAUGAAGGUUAAUAUUGUAGCUUAAUAAUUGAGUAUUAUUAUAUAUUUAAUUUAAUUUAUUUAUUUAUAAAUAAAUCAUUGCAAUAUAUGUAAAAACAAUUUAAAAUAUAAAAAUUUAUUAAUAUGUAUAUAAAUUUAUUAAUAUAUGUAAAAUAACUUUUAUGGAAAAUAUUUUCAGGAAAUCUGCCAAACAACAGAAAAUAUUUUACACAGCUUCAUCCAAACACCAGAAAAUAUUUUCAGUAAAUCAUUUUCCAGAAAAGUAAAUCAUUUUCCGGAAAACAUUUUACUGGCAAAGAAACAUACCCUUUGUGUCUUGUAUUAGUAAGCUUUUGACUCGUGAGGUGAAUAUUUAUCCUCUUUAUCUGAGAUGUCGUCAAGCUAAUAAAAAUUUCAAUUACAUUUUUAUACAUUGUCCUUUCACGUUUGUUGAUGUCGAUUAAUAAGCUUGUUAUAGGACUUUGGCUAAUCAAAAAUAUGACAGGAGGAGGCAUGUUUCGGGAGUGUUAUGGGAAAUUUGGCACAACAGGAAUGUGACGAUUUGGAAACAAAGGUUAUGACGACAGAUCAACUUGUGCAACAUGUGGAUGAAUUUAUGCAAUGUUGGUUAGGAGAAAAUUGGAGUGAAGUUGGUUCACAACUCUCAAACUAUCACGUGUAUGUCGGUAGAGGCAGGGAAUGUUUGUUAGUGGAAGCUGGACGUGGGAAAGCAUAAAUGCAAUGUUGAUGGCUCUAAUAGUGGGUAUAUGGGAUGGGCAAUAGUUGUGCUAAAUGAUACAUGUGAUUUUGUGCUGUGUAUUUCUAGUUUUAUGAAGAGCACCUUAAUCCCUUUCGGUAGAAAAAUUCUUACCUGACUCAAGACUUUGCAUUUAGAUAAAUAUUGUAACGAAGACUAAUAGUUAAUUUUAUAAUUAUUUAAACUACUUUUAUAUAUAAUUAUUUUACUUCAUAAAUCCUAAAUUCAUAAUUCAUUUUUCUCAUACUAACUCAAUUCAUAAUUUAGUUCAUACAUUCUUUCUCGUACUUUUCAAUAGUGCUAAAACAAAUAAUCUCAUUUUCAAAAUUUCAUUUCAAUUAUUUACCCUAUUAACAAAGCUCGGACUAUGACAGAUACGCAGAUUUUCACCCAAACACACCAAAAUGUCCAACCCAAACACACCCAGAAUAUUUUAAAUCCUCCAUAAUACACCAGUAAGGCAUUAAGUGCCUCUUCGAAUAAAUCGAAGUAUAUAAUAACAGAAACAUCUUCUCGGCCGAACUACAAUCUCCUCAUUACAUCACAAAUCCAAUGGCAUGCCAUUUGUAUCAAAUCUAGUCCGACAAGUUAAUAGGGUAUUAUUUUACUUUUUCUAAUUUCAAUUUAAUUUACACAAAAAUUUUCAAUACUCAUUCAAUUCAAAUAUCUAUUAUCUUAAUUCAUAUACAAAUUAAUUUUCACACAAGUGUAUACCAUCAACACCAUAUAAUUGUCACCAUUUAUUUAUUUUUCAAUCAAUACACUUUUCAAAUAAUCACAUACUUACCUCAAUUCUUACUUACCAUACAUAACAAUUAAAAUUUCAGCAAUCAAUAAUAAUUAAAAUUUGAAUUAUAGUAAUACACACCGUAAUUCUCCCGUUUUAGUCCUCGAUGACUCUCCUUUUCUUUCGAUGCUGACGUUUCAGGUUCUUUGUUGGCUACGAAAAUAAUAGUAAUUUAUAUUAUUUACAGCAUUAUUAUAAUAAAUAAUUAAAUUUCUAAACAAUUCCUACCUUAUUCCCAAUUUAAUCCUAACUAAACUUAAUUAUUUUCUUAAUCCAAUUCACUCUCUUUUUCUAUUCAAAUUUUGUCUAAACUUAUAUUUAACUAUAAAAUUUCCAGCAUAUUUCCCUAAUUUCGAAAUUUCUUCAAUUUAGUCCCUUCAACAUAAAACUUAUAGCCUAGUUUACAAUUUAAUCCCUUAAUCAGUUCUAACUUAGAAUUCAUUCAAUUAAAUCCCUAAUUCCAUAAUUUAUCCAACAUAAACCAUAUUUGGAAACAUAUAAACUCUUGAAUUAUGAACUUAAUUUCAUCAAAACUUGUUUUAAAACUUCUAAAAUAUCAAAAUUAAGAGAAAAGUACUUAAUUAAGCUUACAAAUUAAACUUGAAGCUUUAAAAUCUCAAUUUCCCUUUUUAUUUUCUUUCCCUUUUUCUUCCCCUAUUUUCGUUUUGGUCCCUGCUUCGUUUCUGUUUCUUUUGUUUUGUUUCUUUGUUUCCUUAAUUCUUUUUAUGCUUUAUUAUUUUAUUAACAUAAUAUAAUAUUAAUAUCAUAUAUUAAAAUAACUUUUACUUUAAUAUUAAGUAAAUUAAUAAUUAUAUAACAAGUGUACAUAUUUAUAUUAUUACAAAUGUCAUUAUCUAAUUUGCUUAUCAAAUAAAAAUCUCAUUAUUUAAUUAAUACAAUUAAUAAUUAUAAAAUAUCUUUAUACUUAAAUUAUAAGUAAUUAAAUAUUUAAAUUACAAUUGUACCAAUACAAUUCCUACACAUGUAUAUUUUAUUACCAUACAAUUGUCUUCUAUUUAAUUUAUUUAAUAAUAAUGCUAAUAAUAAUAAUCUAAUAUAAAACCAUAAUGUUAAUUAAUAAUUAUAAUAAUUUAAUAUAAAACCAUAAUAAUAAUCAUUAUAAUAUAUAAAACCUAAAAAAAAUCUUUGAUUUUAUUUUACCAAUAUGUCGCCUCAUUUGUAGUCAAUGGCUUAAUUGCCAUUUUAAUUCUUUUUAUUUUCUAUUGCUUUAUAAUUAAACUUUUACCCUUUAUUCAAUUUAAUCCUUUUUAUUACUUACUCUAAAUUAAGCUAAAUUCACCUAAUUAGAUCCUAAUUAGACACACCACUAGGCUCAUAAAUAUUUUUAAUAAUUAUUUUCGAACUUAUUUCACUAAGACGGAGGCCCUAUAACUCACUUUUCCGGUGCCCGUGAAUUUCGGGUUAUUACAUUACACAUACCUUAUAGUAGCUAUCCACACAUGCUUUGCAAAGACAAUGCAUAAAUAAUUUACAGUUACACAUGACUACCCUACAUAGUAAUCUGAUUCACAAAGAAAAUUUCACAGUAAUCUGAUUCACAGCACAUACCAUCGAAUCGGCAGCAGAAAAAUCUAACAAAAAUUCCAUUCAAAAACAGAAGAAUUACCUGAAACAACAACAGAAUCUUGACGAACAGCAACAAGAAGGUGAAUCUGAAGAAAGAUCAAAAGAAAAAAAAACCGGUUAAAAUUUCAGGCAUAAAAUCGGCUAAAGAAACAAAGAAGGCAUAAAAUUUCAGGCUUGACUCCAGACACAGGCUAAUUACAGCAAAUGAUGUAUUGUAGUAUCCUACCAAAUGAUAUUUUAUUCGUAGUUUAUUAAAUUUCAUUAUAUUGUAGUAUCCAUCUAUCCCAAUACAAAAAACACAGGUCAACAUUGGCAAAGGUAAAAAAUAUUGACAGAAAAACACACAAGUGGUAUGGAGAAGCGUCAAAUUUGUUGAACAUCAGUGUCAUUUUCUAAGGUGGUCCAAUGGAGUUUUGUUCUCUCACAUGGACUAGUGUGAUUCCUAAAAUACAUACAUCACAUGGAAAUACAGCCAGCACAAGUAAAUUAUUAUAUCAAUGUUUCUAGUAACUCAUGAUCAAACAACCCAAUUUGUUCAUUCAUUCAUUAAAAAAAGACAAAAGCCAGGGGCAACAUUUCAGCUUUCUAUUCAUAUUAUAUAUUACAGACAUCAUCCAUCCUUGUCCUCAUAUGCAACAUUAAACAGAGGAAAAUUAAAGAAAGAGAAAUUAAGAGCAACAGAAUGUGAUCACUGAAUCUGUUUAAGUUGAGCGACGAGUAGUAAGUAUGUAUAUAUAUACAUUUACAUGAAGCAGUCAGUAAAUUAUUUUAUCUCAAAUCCACAGGAAAGAUGAGAAAUUUUUUUUUUUGGGUUUAUUAAGAUUAAGCAAAACUAGCCUCUCAGGGUUAUUUUAUGAAGCUUUUGGAACUGUGGAUACAAUUCUUGUACUUCAAAUCUUACCAAAAUAAAACCCCCUGAAAAUCCCCCCAAAAAAUGGUAACUAAAAAAGAGAAACCAUUAGAUUUGAGAAAGGGUAGAGCUUUACCUUAAGCCAAGACCCGAAAAAAAAAAGCUUUAUGCAGGAAGAGGAAAAUGCCUGCAAGAGAGAGAGAGAGAGAGAUUGCAUGAGAAAGAGAGAAAGAGAGGGAGAAAGGAAACAAAAUACCAGCAGCAAGAGAACGGAAAUUGAACAGCAGCAAGAGAAGGGGCCUUACCUGGAUGAAGGAGAAGCACGGGAAAAUGUCUUACAGAAAUUGAAACGGUAAGACAUUUUCCCAAAAUGUAAGGGAUUUUACGCGUGAUUUGGAAAAUAUUUUCCAAAUGGAAAAGGUUUUCAGGCUACCAAACACUGGAAAAUGAGGAAAAUAUUUUCCGGAAAAUGAAAUACAACCAAACAAACACACCCAAAAUCUCACAAUAAUCUUUAUAAAAAUUCUUUAAUCUUUGAUGGAAGAACCUCAUUCCAAAGGGAUUAACAAAGACUAUUGACAUGAAAAUUUGAAAUGUUGAUGAACAAACGGAGAGUUACUCAAUGACCCGAUAAUUUCUUGAUCCUACUUAAAUUUAAUACUCCACUAUCAAUAUACAAAAUAACAAUUACAUUGCUAUAUUAUGAUUCAAUAUUAAAUUUUAUUAUAUAUAUUCCACUUUUUUGGAUAAAAAUUUAAAAAUCAAUCAAAUAAUUAAUAUUAAAUUAUGACAAACAUAAUGUGAAUUGACA